rnacentral:rRNA from 1 species
UGGGCAACCUGCCCCCGACCCUGGGAUAACCCCGGGAAACCGGAGCUAAUACCGGAUACUCUCCUCUGACCACCUGGUCGGAUGAGGAAAGGUCCGCCGGUCGGGGAUGGGCCCGCGGCCUAUCAGCUUGUUGGUGGGGUAACGGCCUACCAAGGCAUCGACGGGUAGCUGGUCUGAGAGGACGACCAGCCACACUGGGACUGAGACACGGCCCAGACUCCUACGGGAGGCA